AGUGGCGACCGGGUGAGUAACACGUGGCUAACCUACCUUCGAGUGGGGGAUAACCUAGGGAAACCUGGGCUAAUACCGCAUAACAUCUUUGGAGUGGAAACUCUGGGGAUCAAAGGGGCAAUUCGCUUGAAGAGGGGGUCGCGGCUGAUUAGCUAGUUGGCGGGGUAAUGGCCCACCAAGGCUUUGAUCGGUAGCCGGCCUGAGAGGGCGCACGGCCACACUGGAACUGAAACACGGUCCAGACUCCUACGGGAGGCAGCAGUGGGGAAUUUUGCGCAAUGGGGGAAACCCUGACGCAGCAACGCCGCGUGGAGGAUGAAGUCCCUUGGGACGUAAACUCCUUUCGACCGGGACGAUAAUGACGGUACCGGUGGAAGAAGCCCCGGCUAACUUCGUGCCAGCAGCCGCGGUAAUACGAGGGGGGCAAGCGUUGUUCGGAAUUAUUGGGCGUAAAGGGCGCGUAGGCGGUGCGGUAAGUCACCUGUGAAAUCUCCGGGCUUAACUCGGAGCCUGCAGGCGA
rnacentral:rRNA from 1 species